UCUCCUUGCCUUAGGGCAGAGAGGAGUUACCAGCAGAAAGACUGGCAGCAUUGCCUGCUGUCUCCUGCUCACCAUUGCUGAUGAUUGGCAUUUGUAUUUCAAUAUGGCGUCCGUGCUCUGGAAAGGAAUAAUCUGGAAAGAUGACUGGGAAGUAGAUGGUUUGCCUGUGUCAUCACCACGUUUUCCCUGUUCCCUGGGGUGGUGUACCUGCUCUUGCAAUAUUCUCUAAUUUCUGGAUGAACCUGGCUUUGGAAGGUACUGUGCUGUAGGUUUUUCCAGGAGUUUUGUUUGCUUUGGAGUUUCUUAACAACCAUCAUUGCCUUGGAGGCUUUGUCAACAUUUUGGGCUUCCUUGUCCUCAAUAGAUUUGCUUGUUGGGCCACACUUGUGCCUUUUCACUUAUUCUCACCAGGGACUUCCUUCACUGGGCAUCUGGCUGGGAUUCUUCUUGCAUUAAUGCACACUCAAGGGCCUCUGAAGAACAUCAUGGAAGCAUGUGCUGGCAUUUUUUUCCCUCCAAUUAUUGGUUAUCCAGGACAGUGAUAUUACUUCAAUUGUUCAGGCUAGUCUGGAUAUCAGGAUCAUUAUCUUUAUGGCAGGCCAGGUUAUUAUGAAGAAGCACCCAGGAGCUAUGAUACAUACACAGCAGUACGGAGAGAAAAAGAACAGCUUGUGAGAGCAUGAAGAGCCAGCCCCUGGGAUCAAGAAAAUACCAGGAAUAGCUCACUGCCCUGCGGGCUUCUUCUCUCAGAAGAAAUGAGACUAUAAUGGCUUCACAGGUUUGAUAGCCAGUGA
rnacentral:lncRNA from 1 species